rnacentral:rRNA from 1 species
AACGUAGGUGGCAAGCGUUAUCCGGAUUUACUGGGCGUAAAGCGUGUGCAGGCGGGGGGGCAAGUGGGGUAUGAAAUCGCCAGGCUAAACCUGGCGGGGUUAUGCCAGACUGUCCGUCUGGAGUGCGAGAGAGGGGCGUGGAAUUCCGGGUGUAGUGGUGAAAUGCGUAGAGAUCCGGAGGAACACCAGUGGCGAAGGCGACUUCCUGGCCUGUUCUUGACGCUGAGGCGCGAAAGCUAGGGGAGCAAACGGG